rnacentral:rRNA from 1 species
GGUGGUGGCGGCAUGCCUAACACAUGCAGUCGAACGGCAGCGCGGGCUUCGGCCUGGCGGCGAGUGGCGGACGGGUGAGGAAUGCAUAGGAAUCUGCCCAGUUGUGGGGGAUAACGUAGGGAAACUUACGCUAAUACCGCAUACGACCUUCGGGUGAAAGUGGGGGACCUUCGGGCCUCACGCGAUUGGAUGAGCCUAUGCCGGAUUAGCUAGUUGGCGGGGUAAGAGCCCACCAAGGCGACGAUCCGUAGCUGGUCUGAGAGGAUGAUCAGCCACACUGGAACUGAGACACGGUCCAGACUCCUACGGGAGGCAGCAGUGGGGAAUAUUGGACAAUGGGCGCAAGCCUGAUCCAGCAAUGCCGCGUGGGUGAAGAAGGCCUUCGGGUUGUAAAGCCCUUUUGUACGGGAAGAAAUCCCAUUCGUUAAUACCGGGUGGGGAUGACGGUACCGUAAGAAUAAGCACCGGCUAACUUCGUGCCAGCAGCCGCGGUAAUACGAAGGGUGCAAGCGUUAAUCGGAAUUACUGGGCGUAAAGCGUGCGUAGGUGGUUUGUUAAGUCUGAUGUGAAAGCCCUGGGCUCAACCUGGGAAUGGCAUUGGAUACUGGCUUACUAGAGUGCGGUAGAGGGUAGCGGAAUUUCCGGUGUAGCGGGUGAAAUGCGUAGAGAUCGGAAGGAACAUCCGUGGCGAAAGCGGCUACCUGGACCAGCACUGACACUGAGGCACGAAAGCGUGGGGAGCAAACAGGAUUAGAUACCCUGGGUAGUCCACGCCCUAAACGAUGCGAACUGGGACGUUUGGGCUCAACUUGGAGCUCAGUGUCGAAGCUAACGCGUUAAGUUCGCCGCCUGGGGGGAGUACGUCGCAAGACUGAAACUCAAGGAAUUGACGGGGCCCGCCACAGCGUGGAGUUAUGUGGUUAAUUCGAUGCAACGCCGCAGAAAGCUUAGCUUGGUCCUGGACAUCCACGGAACUUUCGGAGAAUGAAUGCUUGCUCGGAACCGUUGGAGACGUGCUGCAUGCUGUCGUCAGCUCGGGUCGUGAAAUGUGGUUAAGUUCCGCUACGAAGCCAAGCCUGGUUCCCUA